ACUCGAGUGGCGAACGGGUGAGUAACACGUGGGUGAUCUGCCCUGCACUUCGGGAUAAGCUUGGGAAACUGGGUCUAAUACCGGAUAGGAGCCAUCUUUAGUGUGGUGGUUGGAAAGUUUUUCGGUGUAGGAUGAGCUCGCGGCCUAUCAGCUUGUUGGUGGGGUAGUGGCCUACCAAGGCGGCGACGGGUAGCCGGCCUGAGAGGGUGACCGGCCACAUUGGGACUGAGAUACGGCCCAG
rnacentral:rRNA from 1 species